rnacentral:rRNA from 1 species
UACAGAGGGUGCAAGCGUUAAUCGGAUUUACUGGGCGUAAAGCGCGCGCAGGUGGCCAAUUAAGUCAAAUGUGAAAUCCCCGAGCUUAACUUGGGAAUUGCAUUCGAUACUGGUUGGCUAGAGUAUGGGAGAGGAUGGUAGAAUUCCAGGUGUAGCGGUGAAAUGCGUAGAGAUCUGGAGGAAUACCGAUGGCGAAGGCAGCCAUCUGGCCUAAUACUGACACUGAGGUGCGAAAGCAUGGGGAGCAAACAGG